rnacentral:rRNA from 1 species
UGGGGAAUUUUGGACAAUGGGCGAAAGCCUGAUCCAGCAAUGCCGCGUGUGUGAAGAAGGCCUUCGGGUUGUAAAGCACUUUUGUCCGGAAAGAAAUCCUUGGCUCUAAUACAGUCGGGGGAUGACGGUACCGGAAGAAUAAGCACCGGCUAACUACGUGCCAGCAGCCGCGGUAAUACGUAGGGUGCAAGCGUUAAUCGGAAUUACUGGGCGUAAAGCGUGCGCAGGCGGUUUGCUAAGACCGAUGUGAAAUCCCCGGGCUCAACCUGGGAACUGCAUUGGUGACUGGCAGGCUAGAGUAUGGCAGAGGGGGGUAGAAUUCCACGUGUAGCAGUGAAAUGCGUAGAGAUGUGGAGGAAUACCGAUGGCGAAGGCAGCCCCCUGGGCCAAUACUGACGCUCAUGCACGAAAGCGUGGGGAGCAAACAGGAUUAGAUACCCUGGUAGUCCACGCCCUAAACGAUGUCGACUAGUUGUUGGGGAUUCAUUUCCUUAGUAACGUAGCUAACGCGUGAAGUUGACCGCCUGGGGAGUACGGUCGCAAGAUUAAAACUCAAAUGAAUUGAC